CCUACGGGGGGCAGCAGUGGGGAAUAUUGCGCAAUGGGCGAAAGCCUGACGCAGCGACGCCGCGUGAGGGAUGAAGGUCUUCGGAUCGUAAACCUCUGUCAGCAGGGAAGAACGGUCACUGUGCUAAUCAGCAGUGAAUUGACGGUACCUGCAAAGGAAGCACCGGCUAACUCCGUGCCAGCAGCCGCGGUAAUACGGAGGGUGCGAGCGUUAAUCGGAAUUACUGGGCGUAAAGCGCUCGUAGGCGGUAUGUCAAGUCAAGGGUGAAAUCCCCGCGCUCAACGUGGGAACUGCCUUUGAAACUGGCAAACUGGAGUGUGUGAGAGGAUAGUGGAAUUCCAGGUGUAGGAGUGAAAUGCGUAGAGAUCUGGAGGAACAUCAGUGGCGAAGGCGACUAUCUGGCACAUAACUGACGCUGAGGAGCGAAAGCGUGGGUAGCAAACAGGAUUAGAUACCCGAGUAGUC
rnacentral:rRNA from 1 species